GUAGGUGGCAAGCGUUGUCCGGGAAUUAUUGGGGCGUAAAGCGCGCGCAGGCGGUUCUUUAAGUCUGAUGUGAAAGCCCACGGGCUCAACCGUGGAGGGUCAUUGGAAACUGGAGAACUUGAGUACAGGAGAGGAAAGCGGAAUUCCACGUGUAGCGGUGAAAUGCGUAGAGAUGUGGAGGAACACCAGUGGCGAAGGCGGCUUUCUGGUCUGUAACUGACGCUGAGGCGCGAAAGCGUGGGGAGCAAACAGGAUUAGAUACCCUGGUAGUCCACGCCGUAAACGAUGAGUGCUAAGUGUUAGGGGGUUUCCGCCCCUUAGUGCUGCAGCUAACGCAUUAAGCACUCCGCCUGGGGAGUACGGCCGCAAAGGCUGA
rnacentral:rRNA from 1 species